UGCAAAAUUCUCCAUUUGUUGCUUCAACUUGACAAUAAAUGCUGAUUCCUCUCCCCCUCUCAGCACACACAGAGUUAGAUAAUGUCUGUCACACGCCCUGUUUCCAGCUUCUUUUCCUUUAUUUUAUUACAAGCACCACAAAUUCCAAACACUGAAGUGUUCUCCCCUUCAGAUUAACUCUGUACCUGAGCCAUGCCCGCUCAGUAGGAAAAUCUCAGCUUUCCAGCCCCACAACCCUUGGCAAUAUAAAUCCUGCAGGAUCAUUUUGAGAUGAAGCUACAUAACAAUCAAGCUCCUGAUUUUCAGCUCCUAGCCUAGCCUCAGACACCUUUGGAAGACAGGGAGGAAGCUGCCUAUGGACAGGACGGGCUGGGAAGCACCAAGGAAGAGGCAAACACAACUCCAAGCAAGUGAUCAAAGACAUUUGUUCAAACAGAAGUCUUCACCUUAUGUGCAAACACUUCUGAAGUGCAAAGUUCUGUCUGGUGGUACCCACUUCCAUACACACCCUAAUCCAGGGGGCUGGACUGGGAAUUCUGUAAGGAGUCAGUGGGGAGAGAUAAGGAAUUAAUUUCCAUUCCAAGCAUCAGCCCAGCCAUAUCUCAAUCAACACAGCAGCAGCAGCCCCUGCCCAAGCUAAGGACUUGCACACACCCAUCAGGAACUGUUAGAGAAUUUCUGAGAGAGAGAGGGCAGGAUUUAUGUCUGGAGUGAGAAUUGAGCUACCCCUGAUAAGUGCCUUGAUGGGGCCUCGAAGCCUUUGAUGCAGUGAGAAUUCAGUAGUGGCGCAGUCAGAAAUUAUGUUAAGGUAAAUACAAAGUAAGAACCUGAGUGUGAAUUAGAGUAGAGCUGCAGUGUGAAAAGCCUGACCACCUUAAGGCAAAGGUAAACAAUGUUAGUGUGCCAAUCAGAGUGCCUUGUAAACUGUAAACUAUAUGGAAGUGCAUAAAAACUGCCAUCUUCUCUGGAAUAAAGAGAAAACGGUGCAUUAAC